AACGAACGCUGGCGGCAGGCCUAACACAUGCAAGUCGAACGCCCUAGCAAUAGGGAGUGGCAGACGGGUGAGUAACACGUGGGAACGUGCCCUUCGGUUCGGAAUAACUCAGGGAAACUUGAGCUAAUACCGGAUACGUGCGAGAGCAGAAAGAUUUAUCGCCGGAGGUUCGGCCCGCGUCCGAUUAGCUAGUUGGUGAGGUAAUGGCUCACCAAGGCGACGAUCGGUAGCUGGUCUGAGAGGAUGACCAGCCACACUGGGACUGAGACACGGCCCAGACUCCUACGGGAGGCAGCAGUGGGGAAUAUUGGACAAUGGGCGCAAGCCUGAUCCAGCCAUGCCGCGUGAGUGAUGAAGGCCCUAGGGUUGUAAAGCUCUUUCGCCAGGGACGAUAAUGACGGUACCUGGAUAAGAAGCCCCGGCUAACUUCGUGCCAGCCGCCGCGGUAA
rnacentral:rRNA from 1 species